rnacentral:rRNA from 1 species
CAGGCUGAAACUCGCCUGCACGAAGUUGGAAUUGCUAGUAAUCGCGGAUCAGCAUGCCGCGGUGAAUACGUUCCCGGGUCUUGUACACACCGCCCGUCACACCAUGGGAGCUGGUAACACCCGAAGUCAGUAGUCUAACCGCAAGGAGGACGCUGCCGAAGGUGGGAUUAGCGACUGGGGUGAAGUCGUAACAAGGUACC